rnacentral:rRNA from 1 species
CCUACGGGGGGCAGCAGUGGGGAAUAUUGCACAAUGGGGGAAACCCUGAUGCAGCGACGCCGCGUGGGUGACGAAGUAUUUCGGUAUGUAAAGCCCUAUCAGCAGGGAAGAAGAUGACAGUACCUGACCAAGAAGCCCCGGCUAACUACGUGCCAGCAGCCGCGGUAAUACGUAGGGGGCAAGCGUUAUCCGGAUUUACUGGAUGUAAAGGGAGCGUAGGUGGCAUGGCAAGCCAGAAGUGAAAACCCGGGGCUUAACCCCGCGGAUUGCUUUUGGAACUGUCAGGCUGGAGUGCAGGAGGGGCAGGCGGAAUUCCUGGUGUAGCGGUGAAAUGCGUAGAUAUCAGGAGGAACACCGGUGGCGAAGGCGGCCUGCUGGACUGUAACUGACACUGAGGCUCGAAAGCGUGGGGAGCAAACAGGAUUAGAUACCCCAGUAGUC